rnacentral:rRNA from 1 species
CCAAUAGCGUAUAUUAAAGUUGUUGCAGUUAAAAAGCUCGUAGUUGAAUUUCGGGGUCAGUAGGUUCGUCAUGCCACUGGUAUGUACUGGUCUCACUGAUUCCUCCUUCCUGAUGAGCCGUAAUGCCAUUAAUUUGGUGUUGCGAGGAAUCUGGACUGUUACUUUGAAAAAAUUAGAGUGUUUAAAGCAGGCUAACGCUUGAAUACAUUAGCAUGGAAUAAUGAAAUAGGACGUUCGAUCUUAUUUUGUUGGUUUCUAGGAUUGACGUAAUGAUUAAUAGGGAUAGUUGGUGGCAUUAGUAUUCAAUUGUCAGAGGUGAAAUUCUUGGAUUUAUUGAAGACUAACUACUGCGAAAGCAUUUGCCAAGGAUGUUUUCAUUAAUCAAGAACGAAAGUUAGGGGAUCGAAGACGAUCAGAUACCGUCGUAGUCUUAACCAUAAACUAUGCCGACUAGGGAUCGGAUGAUGUUAAUUUUUUAAUGACUCAUUCGGCGCCUUACG